GUCCUGGUAGGUAAAGGGACCAUGUGAAUUUUAAGCCUAGAAAAAAAGAGUUUAAGCCUAGAAAAAAAAAUUCAUAAAAUGCAUUUUGCUUUGGGUUUAAUAUGUUUCCAUGGGUUCCGGUUUAUAAGGGUCCGUGUUGUACUGUUGUUAAAGGCAUUUUACCCUGAAGAAGCGUCAUUGGUGCUACUAUACCUUAGGCUAACAUGAAUAUUUUAGUAAAAGAAUAUAACCUAAAAUAUUUUUCAUUUUGUUCCCUACAGUUGCUCACAUAGUUGCAUACACACUUUAGAAGGCCAAUAAUGGCUUGGGUUCAAAAUGGAACGCGUACGUUGGGACCACUUAGCAUAUACCGCUCAACUGUGCAACUAAAACAUUGUUUAUCCAUAAUCAAAGCCGAUGCAGGUAUGGAGCAUGAGAGGCCAAACUUAAUGUUGAUUAAACAAAGGGAACAGCCAAGUGUACGUAGUCUACAAAGUAGGAACGUUGUGCAUUUAUUUUGACUCGUAUUUGGACAACAAAGUCACCAAGGAGUGCUAACCAUUGGCUUUUAACAAAAGUCAAAAGUCAAGAUAACUGAUACUUGAACAUUUUGGCUUUAACUUUCGUUUUAAACAUUUUUUAAAGUUUUAGCACGCGUGGCAUGGUAUUUACUGUGAUAAAGUGACCCUAAAAACAAUGUCAAAACGUCAGUUCGGUCAUAACUUGCAAGAAUGGCGGUUUCA